UGGGUUGAAAAGACCAGCACCUAGCUUGGCUGAGGACGGCUGUGGACAGGACAGCAUGGACAGGCUGUGCUCUACCCUCCUGCUGCUCACUCUCCCUUCCUGGGCCCUGUCCCAGAUCGCCCUGAAGGAGUCUGGACCUGGGCUGCUGCCACCCUCCCAGACCCUCAGCCUCACCUGCUCCAUCUCAGGAUUCUCUCUGAGCACUACUGGUGUGGCUGUGAGUUGGAUCCGGCAGCCCCCAGGGAAGACCCUGGAGUGGCUGGCAAAUGUGUGGUGGGAUGAUGGUAAGUCCUACAACCCAGCCCUGAAGAGCCGGCUCUCCAUCUCCAAGGACAGCUCCAACAGCCAGGUGUUCCUCACACUGGACAGCGUGGACUCUGCAGACACAGCCACCUAUUACUGUGCUAGAAACCACAGAGGCACAGCCACAGGGGCCUCCUGCACAAGAUCUCAGGCUGGGCCUCAGCUCUGUGCUGGCCCUGAGCAUCAGGAAGGCCCCGGAGGCUCUUGCAAAUGCCCUGAACAGUACCGGACAGGACACAGACAGGAAGGGGACUGCUGUGCCUACAGUGCCCAGGACAGGUACCCGUAG